CACGUAGGGCGCAAGCGUUGUCCGGAAUUAUUGGGCGUAAAGAGCUCGUAGGUGGUUUGUUACGUCCGCUGUGAAAACCUAGGGCUUAACCCUGGGCUUGCAGUGGAUACGGGCAGACUAGAGGUAGGUAGGGGAGAAUGGAAUUCCUGGUGUAGCGGUGAAAUGCGCAGAUAUCAGGAGGAACACCGGUGGCGAAGGCGGUUCUCUGGGACGGUACUGACGCUGAGACGCGAAAGCGUGGGGAGCGAACAGG
rnacentral:rRNA from 1 species